rnacentral:lncRNA from 1 species
GGACUUGCAGCGGGCUGUGAGGGACGCGGGCGCCGCUUUGUCCUAGGAAAUGUGCUUCGUGGUUUUCUUCCUUGCUCCUUCCUUACGUCGAAGAAAGCUUCAUCAGGACUUCUGAAACGAUUUUUAAAUGCUUGAUUGAGGAUCCAGGACGUGUACCGUCUACAAAUAAACCCUUGAAGGGUUUUCUGCAGUUCAAUUUUUUGCGAGUGCGUUCUUUUUUCUUUCUCUCUUUCUUUUUUUUUUUUUUUUUUUUUUUUUUUUUUUUUUAGCUUACUUUGUUUUGAUCAGCUGAGGCUGGGCCUCCGUCUUUGUGAAGUUUCAAGAGAAGAGCCAGGAGCUACUCAGCAAUAAUUGCUUUUUGAAACGUACUCUUUCAGGGCGAAAGCAAAGAGCUGGUUUUCUGCGCUAGCCCAAUAAAUGCUAUUUAUGAAGAUGGACCUGUUGAACUACCAGUACUUGGACAAGAUGAACAACAAUAUCGGCAUUCUGUGCUAUGAAGGGCCUGCUGAAGGUGGUUUUGAGCUUUUUGACCUGUUACUGUGGACUGGAGGAACCAGGACGGCCGCAGUCUUGCUCUCUGGACCUGGACCUUCAGGCAUUUCCUGACCAGUCACUGAGUCACCAUUCUCCCUUCUACCAGCCACACCGCUGUCCAGACACCUUCAGACAGAUUGAUCGUCAUAUUGGUUGAUGACAGUAUUGUUCAGUUUUUGUUUGUUUGCUGCACCUGUGGCAUUCAGAAGUUCCCGGGCCAGGGGCCAAACCUGCCCCAGAGCAGCAACCCUAGCUGCUGAAGCGACAACACUGGAUCCUUAACCUGCUGUGCCACAAAGGAACCCUUAGGAGUAUGCAUUUUAAAUAAGCAUCUCAAGUGAUUCAGAUAUAGGUGGUCCAGGGACCACACUUUGAAAAACAUUGUACUAAAUGAUGAAUCAGAGCAGCUGAAUGAGAGAUAAUAAGGAACAUUUCCCCAGACUGAUGAAAAUAAACUGAAAACCAAUUCAACUUUUUAAGUAGGAGUUGGGUAGGUCAUUAUCCAACUUAACCAAAGUUGAUUUACUCUUGAAUUUGCAGGAAUCCAUUUGUCACAUGAUGUUGGUUUUACCUGAUGCAUAUUUAGCAUUGGUCUCUUACGGAAAAUCCUGAGAUAAAGAAAAUAAUUCUUGAGCAUCUAAUGCCUAUUUUUAACUCCUAACUAAAAUAAGAUCCUUUGCCACUUCUGCUUCAUAGAUCUCUUCUUGUGCUCCCUCCAGCAAGUCUCCAGUGCCUUGGCAGCAGCCCAGUAGAUGGUCAGCUGUCUCUGUGCAGUACCCUGACCAUGUGGGGGUUAAUGUGGAAGCAAGAGUUUGGGCGUGAAUGAGGUGAUGUCACUUUCUCCUUCUCGGAUCAUCACCUCUGGGCUUUCAGCCAUCUUCGGGAUUCAUGACAGAUCUAAUGUCAGAAUCCUCCAUCAGUGUCCAUCCACCUUCGCCGUGGAAGGUUGAAACAUUACCCAUUUAAGCUCUUUGUUGAAAUACCCAAUACUUCCGUUAAAUGGGCUAUCGAAGCCUGAACAUCUCUGAAUGGGUGUGAGAAAGACAUUGCAGGAGUCUUUCCGGCCUCAGUCCUUCAGCAGAACAGAUGGAAAAACCUCUCAAUUACAUGAGCUCACAUCUGUCUCUGGGAUUUGACUGGGUUUGUGCCACAUUGUGCCGUGGAAUUACUGAUUUUGUAAUCCUUAGAAAGCAUGGUUGAAGUGAGAUGGACAAAGAGCUGGACCCUAAAGGUUAAUGGCAUGGAGAGAACAAGAAGCCUGGAGACCUAAUAGUGAAAUACAAGCGUCCGUGGUUGCAAACCACUCAUCCAUUUAAUUUGCUAGAAGUUAAUAUAGUCUGGAGGACCCCAAAUUAAAAUGUUUCGGUAUUGCUUUAUUUCUUCAUUAGUCUAAUUCCCAUUGACCUUGUGUCAAGGCUAAAACAAUUUAGAACUAAAACAAUUUAGAAGCAUUCUAGCAUGGGAACAGUUUUAAUGAUUAUUGUCAGCAUGGUUUUAAAGAAAAUGGGUUGGCCAAACACAUGAAGGUUUUUAAAUCUAUUAGUAGUGUGACAUUGUAUGACUUUAUUUUGUUAAACCAUUGAAAGAAGGCUUUGUGAGACGGAUUGAAUUUCUGAAAUGCCAGA